rnacentral:rRNA from 1 species
AGAGUUUGAUCCUGGCUCAGAACGAACGCUGGCGGCGCGCCUAAUACAUGCAAGUCGAGCGAGAAGGUGUAGUGAUACACUUGUAAAGCGGCGAACGGGUGAGGAAUACAUGGGUAAUCUACCAUCGAGUGGGGAAUAACCAACCGAAAGGUUGGCUAAUACCGCGUACGCCUCCGGAUCUUCGGGUUCGGAGGGAAAGCUGCACUGUGAGUGUAGCGCUCUUUGAUGAGCUCGUGUCCUAUCAGCUUGUUGGUAGGGUAACGGCCUACCAAGGCUUUGACGGGUAGCUGGUCUGAGAGGACGAUCAGCCACACUGGCACUGCGACACGGGCCAGACUCCUACGGGAGGCAGCAGUAAGGAAUAUUGCGCAAUGGGCGAAAGCCUGACGCAGCGACGCCGCGUGGGGGAUGAAGGUCUUCGGAUUGUAAACCCCUUUCGGGAGGGAAGAUGGAGCGAGCAAUCGUUCGGACGGUACCUCCAGAAGCAGCCACGGCCAACUUCGUGCCAGCAGCCGCGGUAAUACGAAGGUGGCAAGCGUUGUUCGGAUUCACUGGGCGUACAGGGUGUGUAGGCGGUUUGGUAAGCCUUCUGUUAAAGCUUCGGGCCCAACCCGGAAAGCGCAGAGGGUACUGCCAGGCUAGAGGGUGGGAGAGGAGCGCGGAAUUCCCGGUGUAGCGGUGAAAUGCGUAGAGAUCGGGAGGAAGGCC